rnacentral:tRNA from 1 species
GGGGAUGUAGCACAGUGGUAGAGUGCUUUCUCAGAAUGUGCAAAGUCCUGGGUUCAAAUCACAACAUCCACU